rnacentral:rRNA from 1 species
AUUGAACGCUGGCGGCAUGCCUUACACAUGCAAGUCGAACGGUAACAGGUCUUCGGAUGCUGACGAGUGGCGAACGGGUGAGUAAUACAUCGGAACGUGCCCGAUCGUGGGGGAUAACGGAGCGAAAGCUUUGCUAAUACCGCAUACGAUCUACGGAUGAAAGCAGGGGACCGCAAGGCCUUGCGCGGACGGAGCGGCCGAUGGCAGAUUAGGUAGUUGGUGGGAUAAAAGCUUACCAAGCCGACGAUCUGUAGCUGGUCUGAGAGGACGACCAGCCACACUGGGACUGAGACACGGCCCAGACUCCUACGGGAGGCAGCAGUGGGGAAUUUUGGACAAUGGGCGAAAGCCUGAUCCAGCCAUGCCGCGUGCAGGAUGAAGGCCUUCGGGUUGUAAACUGCUUUUGUACGGAACGAAAAGACUCUUUCUAAUAAAGAGGGACCAUGACGGUACCGUAAGAAUAAGCACCGGCUAACUACGUG